UACGUAGGGUGCAAGCGUUGUCCGGAAUUAUUGGGCGUAAAGAGCUCGUAGGCGGUCUGUCGCGUCUGCUGUGAAAACUCAGGGCUUAACCCUGAGCUUGCAGUGGGUACGGGCAGACUAGAGUGCGGUAGGGGAGACUGGAAUUCCGUGGUGUAGCGGUGAAAUGCGCAGAUAUCAGGAGGAACACCGGUGGCGAAGGCGGGUCUCUGGGCCGUAACUGACGCUGGAGGAGC
rnacentral:rRNA from 1 species